UACGUAGGGGGCAAGCGUUGUCCGGAUUUAUUGGGCGUAAAGAGCGUGUAGGCGGUUAUACAGGUCCGCUGUGAAAACUGGAGGCUUAACCUCCAGACGUCGGUGGAAACCGUAUAACUAGAGUCCGGAAGAGGAGAGUGGAAUUCCUGGUGUAGCGGUGAAAUGCGCAGAUAUCAGGAAGAACACCCGUGGCGAAGGCGGCUCUCUGGGACGGUACUGGCGCUGAGACGCGAAAGCGUGGGGAGCGAACAGG
rnacentral:rRNA from 1 species